rnacentral:rRNA from 1 species
AACGAACGCUGGCGGCAUGCCUAACACAUGCAAGUCGAACGAGACCUUCGGGUCUAGUGGCGCACGGGUGCGUACCGCGUGGGAACCUGCCCUUAGGUUCGGAAUCACUCCCCGAAAGGGGUGCUAAUACCGGAUAAUGUCUUCGGACCAAAGAUUUAUCGCCUUUGGAUGGGCCCGCGUUGGAUUAGCUAGUUGGUAGGGUAAAAGCCUGCCAAGGCGACGAUCCAUAGCUGGUCUGAGAGGAUGAUCAGCCACGCUGGGACUGAGACACGGCCCAGACUCCUACGGAAGGCAGCAGUGGGGAAUAUUGGACAAUGGGCGAAAGCCUGAUCCAGCAAUGCCGCGUGAGUGAGGAAGGCCUUAGGGUUGUAAAGCUCUUUUACCCGGGAUGAUAAUGACAGUACCGGGAGAAGAAGCACCGGCUAACUCCGUG